AACGAACGCUGGCGGCAUGCCUAACACAUGCAAGUCGAACGAGACCUUCGGGUCUAGUGGCGCACGGGUGCGUAACGCGUGGGAACCUGCCCUUAGGUUCGGAAUAACUCCCCGAAAGGGGUGCUAAUACCGGAUAAUGUCUUCGGACCAAAGAUUUAUCGCCUUUGGAUGGGCCCGCGUUGGAUUAGCUAGUUGGUAGGGUAAAAGCCUACCAAGGCGACGAUCCAUAGCUGGUCUGAGAGGAUGAUCAGCCACACUGGGACUGAGACACGGCCCAGACUCCUACGGGAGGCAGCAGUGGGGAAUAUUGGAAAAGGGGCGAAAGCCUGACCAAGCAAGGCCGCGGGGUUGAUGAAGGCCUUGGGGUUGUAAAGCUCUUUUCCCCGGGAUGAUAAUGACAGUACCGGGAGAAAAAGCCCCGGCGAACCCCGU
rnacentral:rRNA from 1 species